AUGCAGCUGACGAGUCCCAAAUAGGACGAAAUGUGCGUCCUGGAU
rfam:Schistosoma curassoni strain Dakar, Senegal genome assembly, scaffold: SCTD_scaffold0000740